rnacentral:snoRNA from 1 species
CCCCUCUCAGGGUCACACCUGGAGAGUGUCCAGUACUCUACCAGUCUCGACUACGGGAGGGAGAGUCAAGCAGAGACAUAUCCAUUCCAUUCCUUGCUUGGUCAGUGGCUAGUGAGGGGAAGGCAAUCUGCUAUAAGU